AUAUGGUCACCAGCCCAACUGCCAGGAGAGUUAUGCCACAAGAGUGCAGAAGAACAAAGGGAUGGUUGGUUGUCUUCAAACAUGCACAUGUGUACACGUGUUGAUUGUCCCUAAGGUCCUCCCGUCUUUACAGGUGGGGCCAUUUAUCUCCCACCUGCAGAUUCAGCCCUGCCUGGGGUACAGAAGUCAGCUAAACCUCAAGAUUGUGUCAAACCUGGGGCUGCCUCAGGACUACCUGUUGCCGUGGAUGGGAGUCUGGCUACUGGGCUUUUGCCUUGAGACAGUGCUCCCAUGAAGCUCAGAGCACCUCUUCCUGGAGGCCCACUUUAACAUACCUCCGGUCUGUGGGGUACAGUUCCACAGUGACCACAUCAAGGGAGUUCCAGGCCGAGAUGGUCAAUCCAUUAUACAGACACAGCACGCCUACCAUCAUGGAUUCACUGCUGCCCAACCAAAGGAAGAAACAGCUGAUCCCUGAAAGCACCAUAGAACCACCUGCCAAUGAAGAACACAAAAGGCUGGAAUGUUUCUCAUCAUCUUAGUAGACCAAGAACCUUGGGUCUUUGACAUCUCUCAGCAAAAGUGAAUCCCAAGCAGAAGGUGUAGGCUUGACUUCAUAAAGCUCAGGUACAGGUAUGUUCACCUGUAUUAAAAGUUUGUCUCUUUAACAGCCUUCUAAACACAGCAAGCAUGAAAUGCACAUCAUCAAUUACUCAGCUACUUAAGUGGAAAAAUAUACAUUAGUCACACAUAAUUAGUUUUUCAGUCUGUUAACUCAUGGAAGCCGCUCAAAUAAAAUGUAAUUAGACAUAAUUUCUAGUCUUAAUGAAAGGUCUUAAGGGAUUUCUCCUCAUCUCUGUGGGAUGCAAAUCCCUAAGAGCAUAGGGAGGACAGUGGGAAACGGGCUCCCCGUGGAUUGCAGGGGCAGCUCCUUUAUUUUACAUGAAACCAAGCACAUACCCAGCAUCGUUAAGCGCCCAAUUCUGUCCAUCAGGAGAGCAGACACGAUGUUCCCUGGCAACACUGCCAGUGUCCCCAGGAAGUUGACAAAGUAAAUCCAGUAGGCACUAUAGUCAUCAUCAAAGGUAAUCUGGCAUCCCGUCUUGUUGUGAAAAAACAAGCAGUUGUGAAAUUCGCUAUCAAUGAAUUUAUAUGGCUCAAAAUCUGUGGACACAAAGACAAUUUAUCAAGCUCUUUACAGUUCCACACCAGUAUAAAAAAGCCUGUCAAGAAUUCAGGAAAGAGUCAUGGUAUUGGAAACUCCUUGAGGGCUUCAAGGUCUGGCCAAAGCACAGGGACUGGUCUAGAACGUCACAUUACAAAGUAGCCUGAAUGAAGGAUAUGUUUGUCGAAUAAAGGAAUAAAUUAAAGAAUCCA